AUGAGAAGGCUGGAGAGCUCUUUCCGUAGCUUUUCUCGCCCUGUUCUUCAUGCCGCUGCAAGAGUAGUCCAGGAAAUGGGUAAAAGCAGAGCAGCUGCUUACUCUUUGGGUGCUUAUGAUGAGGGAGCCAAUCUUCAAGCUUAUUCAGAUAAUGUUGAAUCUCUUGAUUCUGAUGAGAACUCACAACCUGAAGCCACCCGGAAAGCUAAGCCACUGUCGAAUGGACAUGGUGGAAUGGACACAGUAGCAGGGUUAUUGGCGUCACUAAUGGAAGUAGUGCGGACAACUGUAGCAUGCGAGUGCGUAUAUGUUCGAGCAAUGGUCAUCAAAGCUUUGAUAUGGAUGCAAAAUCCACAUGAGUCCCUCGAUGAACUAAAAUCUAUAAUUGCGUGUGAGCUGUCGGACCCAGCCUGGCCUUCUUCUCUACUGAAUGAUGUCCUGCUAACCCUACAUGCUAGGUUCAAGGCAACCCCUGAUAUGGCUGUGACUCUGCUUGAGAUUGCUAGAAUUUUUGCUACUAAAGUUCCUGGAAAGAUUGAUGCUGACGUUCUACAACUGUUAUGGAAGACAUGCCUUGUAGGAGCAGGACCAGAUGGGAAACAUACAGCAUUGGAAGCUGUGACAAUUGUCCUUGAUCUGCCACCACCUCAGCCUGGUUCAAUGUCUGUACUCACGUCUGUUGAUAUGAUAUCCGCCUCUGAUCCAAAAUCUGCAAUGGCACUGCAAAGAUUAGUCCAAGCUGCUGUUUGGUUUCUGGGAGAAAAUGCAAACUAUGCUGCAUCUGAGUAUGCAUGGGAAUCUGCAACGCCGCCUGGUACUGCUCUAAUGAUGCUUGAUGCUGAUAAAAUGGUUGCUGCAGCUAGCUCCCGUAACCCUACACUUGCUAGCGCUCUGACGCGGCUCCAAAGGUGUGCAUUUAGUGGCAGCUGGGAGAUCCGUAUCGCUGCUGUCCAGGCCCUAACUACCAUUGCAAUAAGGUCUGGUGAACCUUAUAGACUACAGAUAUACGAGUUUCUUCAUGCUUUGAGUCUGGGGGGUGUGCAGUCAAACUUUUCGGAAUUGCAGCUAAGUAAUGGGGAAAACCAAGGUGCGAGUGGUACGGGUCUUGGGUCUUUGAUUAACCCAAUGCUCAAGGUCUUGGAUGAGAUGUAUAAAGCUCAAGACGACCUUGCUAGGGACAUCCGUCAGCAUGAUAAUAGCAAACAAGAAUGGAGUGAUGAUGAACUCAAGAAACUUUAUGAAACCCAUGAGAGGCUUCUUGAUUUCGUUUGUUUAUUCUGUUUCGUUCCAAGGAUUAAAUACUUGCCUUUAGGCCCUACCAGUGCCAAGCUAAUUGAGAUCUACCGCAAUCGGCAUAACAUUAGUGCAUCUGUCGGUCUAAGUGACCCUGCUGUUGCUACCGGAAUAUCUGACCUCAUGUAUGAGUCAAAAGAAGUACAUAAGGAGACCAGUACUAUGCAAUCCGGAAUUGACCCUGAUCUAGCUAUGGCCUGGGCAGCGGGUUUGGAAGAUGAUGCCUGGGCAAACGAUGCCCCAGGUGUGGACAAAGUCAAGGAUUUCCUUUCUGGUGCUGGAACUGAUGCUCCUGAUGUGGAUGACGAGGAAUACAUGAAUUCUAGGCCAUCAGUCGGUUAUGAUGAUAUGUGGGCCAAGACAAUUCUUGAAGAGGAAGAUGAUGGGAGGUCUUCUGGCGGGUCCUCUCCUGACUCGACUGGUUCUGUGGAGACGUCCAUAUCGUCCCAUUUCGGUGGCAUGAACUAUCCGUCUUUGUUUAGUUCAAAACCACCAAGCUAUGGGGCUUCACAACAAACGAUACGUGAAGAACCACCAUCAUAUUCAACAUCUGUCCUACAGAAGCGUGAGUCGUUUGACAAUCCCCUGGCGGGGCGUGGGGGUCGAAGUUCUGGAUCUGGAUCCCAUGAGGAUGUUGAGAAGAGUUCCGGGAACCCUCAAUCUGGGAAAGCAUUGUAUGACUUCACAGCAGGCGGCGAUGAUGAGCUGAGUUUAAACUCUGGAGAAGACGUGGAUAUUGAAUAUGAGGUUGAUGGUUGGUACUACGUGAAGAAAACGAGACCAGGAAGGGAUGGGAAGAUGGCAGGUCUGGUCCCUGUUUUGUACGUGAGCUCGUGA
rnacentral:rRNA from 1 species